UACGGAGGAUGCGAGCGUUAUCCGGAUUUAUUGGGUUUAAAGGGUGCGUAGGCGGCUUUUUAAGUCAGCGGUGAAAUUUUGCAGCUUAACUGUAACAGUGCCGUUGAUACUGGGGAGCUAGGAUUUGGUUGCUGUUGGUGGAAUGUGUGGUGUAGCGGUGAAAUGCUUAGAGAUCACACAGAAUAUCGAUUGCGAAGGCAGCUCACAAAGCCAAGAUUGACGCUGGGGCACGAAAGUGUGGGGAUCAAACAGGAUUAGA
rnacentral:rRNA from 1 species